UUUAUAAUGUUACAUAUUCAAUUGAAUUAUUUAAAAAUAUACAUAAAGGCAAUAUAUUAGUUAAAAGUUAAGCUGAGCCCAAAUCCUCUAUAUAAAGUGAGGCUAUUACAAUAGAAGAUCAAGCUGAACAAAAAUUAAUAUCCUUAUGUAGCUCAUCAUCUCAAGUUACUCAAUUUGUAGUAAACCAUGACUUUGUCUCUUCUUUACCUGCUUCAUUUCUUUUCCUCCUCAUCAUCCCUAUAACUGUAAUAAUUUAUAUCCAUCUUUUUGUAUAGAUCAUACCUACAUAAAAGUUUUGUCAGACAACAUUAGUAGAAAAGGAAAGAAGAAAAGAAAGAGCAUAAACAGUCAUAAGGUCACAAACUGAUUCAACUAUGAGUCAAUAUAUAUAUAUAUAUAUAUAUAAAAGAAAAAAGAAUAAUAUUAGAGGGAAAAUGAAGCCAAUAUAAAGAGAAUAACAUUAAGGGGAAAUAUUUUAACAAUGAGCUCCUACACAAACUUCCAGUGCCUCUAUAGAUUUUAUAUAUAGUCAAGAACUUAGAAAUAUUUGAAACAUACAUACCUUUUAUAUUUAACUUUUCAUAACAAUGGGAGCAUAAGAAUACACAUUAGUAUAUAGCAGUUUCAUGCUUAUUAUCCAACUAUAAAUAGAAACAAAAAGACAUGAAAGCAAAAUUCAGUAUCAAAAUAGAAAACAUAAGAAGUAUUGAGAUGCCACUAUUAAUAUGAGCAACCACCUUAAACUUGAAAUCAUUUCUAUCACAAGAUCAACUGCUAGGUCAGAUCGUUUAUGGUAAAACUGUCAACAUUACUUGGUUCUAACUUGUGCAACACUGACUGUAUAAAUAGCCCAUUUCACAUCCACAAUAUUCACAUCUCCAAAACACGAAGCACAUACUUCAACAAUUGUUUGAGUUCUACAGCUAACACUUUCCAGCCAAAAUAGUAUUAAACAAAAUAUUUAUAUCGUCAAUAGAAAUAUUAUAUCAUCAAUAGAAAGACAGUUGACACUUGAUAUAAAUCAAAACCACACAUGUAAUCAAAAGUAGCAAUACAAAUAGUUUCACCGUCACACAAUCAUUUGAGGAAGAAUAAAGCAUAUUAUGUACUAAAUCCUAAGCGAGAGAAAAUUUAAGUAGUAGUGUUUUUAUUCAUCAAAAUAAAAAUAUCACAAGGUUUUUAGCUUAUGCUUCGUCGAUUGAAUUCGAGAAAUAAUGCAUAAAAAUAUCACAAGGUGUGUAAAAGAAAAAGGUAAACAUCGAGAUGCAAAUUACCUCCAUUUCAAUUAUAUGACAGAUGAUUAUGUCUGAUGACUCAAGACCUUUUUCGGAAAAAAGAUCAGAGAAUUGCUCCAGCCUGGUAAUCAAUAAAAUAGGAAAAAAAAAAUAGAAAAAAAAAUUCAAGUCCGCUUAAUAAGAAAAAAAAAAUAGGAAUAGAGGGAGAAGGAAACUUGCAGGGUUAGCUCUUGCGUUUGGAGGCGGUGUGAGGCCACAGGCCAGCCCGAGUUUUGGGCGAUGGUUGCGUCUCCAUCAGAGUUUGGUGAACAAAUGGCGGCUGAGUCUCCGUCAAAGGACGACUCGCUAAUACGGUGGUUGAAUUGACCAAAAAGGAGAAGGGCAAGGAAAAUGGUUCAAAGUCUGGAGAUCUCUAUUUUUUGGCAUUUAGGUUGCUCCAGAAUGUAGAGAGAACGUGACUUAG
rnacentral:lncRNA from 1 species